GUGCCCGCUUCGGCAGCACAUACACUAAAAUUGGAACAAUACAGAGAUUAGCAUGGCCCCUGAGCAAGGAUGACACGCACAUUCAUGAAGCGUUCCAUAUUUUU